rnacentral:rRNA from 1 species
AUUGAACGCUGGCGGCAGGCCUAACACAUGCAAGUCGAGCGGAUGAAGGGAGCUUGCUCCUGGAUUCAGCGGCGGACGGGUGAGUAAUGCCUAGGAAUCUGCCUGGUAGUGGGGGAUAACGUCCGGAAACGGGCGCUAAUAACGCAUACGUCCUGAGGGAGAAAGUGGGGGAUCUUCGGACCUCACGCUAUCAGAUGAGCCUAGGUCGGAUUAGCUAGUUGGUGGGGUAAAGGCCUACCAAGGCGACGAUCCGUAACUGGUCUGAGAGGAUGAUCAGUCACACUGGAACUGAGACACGGUCCAGACUCCUACGGGAGGCAGCAGUGGGGAAUAUUGGACAAUGGGCGAAAGCCUGAUCCAGCCAUGCCGCGUGUGUGAAGAAGGUCUUCGGAUUGUAAAGCACUUUAAGUUGGGAGGAAGGGCAGUAAGUCAAUACCUUGCUGUUUUGACGUUACCAACAGAAUAAGCACCGGCUAACUUCGUG